GAUGAACGCUGGCGGCGUGCCUAAUACAUGCCAGUCGAGCGAACAGACGAGGAGCUUGCUCCUUUGACGUUAGCGGCGGACGGGUGAGUAACACGUGGGUAACCUACCUAUAAGACUGGGAUAACUUCGGGAAACCGGAGCUAAUACCGGAUAAUAUUUCGAACCGCAUGGUUCGAUAGUGAAAGAUGGCUUUGCUAUCACUUAUAGAUGGACCUGCGCCGUAUUAGCUAGUUGGUAAGGUAACGGCUUACCAAGGCAACGAUACGUAGCCGACCUGAGAGGGUGAUCGGCCACACUGGAACUGAGACACGGUCCAGACUCCUACGGGAGGCAGCAGUAGGGAAUCUUCCGCAAUGGGCGAAAGCCUGACGGAGCAACGCCGCGUGAGUGAUGAAGGUCUUCGGAUCGUAAAACUCUGUUAUUAGGGAAGAAUAAACGUGUAAGUAACUGUGCACGUCUUGACGGUACCUAAUCAGAAAGCCACGGCGAACUACGU
rnacentral:rRNA from 1 species